AACCCUGUGUUUCCAGGGAGAGGAACUAAACCUUUUAUUCUUGUGAUUUCCCAGGUUCAGGGAGGGGAGCCUCUGGAGUAGAGCUGGAAUGUGAACAUGGUGCAGCAUACAGAACAUCCUAAGUGUUGACCCACACGGAAGCUUCAUCUUGGUUGAGCCUUUAAAGCGCCCGCAUAGAGUGGGUAAAGGACAGCAUCAAAGGCCCUUGGGUAAGAGAUGCUCUCAGGAGGCUGCAGGAAAUACCACGGCCAAAGCGAGGUGGCACAGGAGGGCGGCUCCGCAGGAUGUGCAAACAGUGCCGCUGGUGCAGAAGACCAGGGGAGAUGGCUGGGACCCGUGCUGUGACUCCGGUGAGAAUGUGCCGGGCUGCAGGCUUCAAUCCCAGGGGCCAGCCAGGCCUGGGCUCCAAACCCGAGUGUGGCUGCCACAGGCAGGAUUCCCGCCCAGGAUCCGGGACCCGCAGCUCAGUCACCCACACCUGCGCGGCCACGGAACCUGCAGCCCAGAACAUUGUUCCUUCUCCACGAAAGCUUUCUGCUUUGGUGCAGGGUCACCGACGCGGUGGAUGUACAGAGGACAAAAUGAGACGUCUGUGCUGCUUGGAAAACGUGAGGGCUGAUUCCAAAGCUGAGCCCAGGUAGUACUUACCAUCGUGGGAUGGCCCACAAACGCUGACAGUGGUAGCAGGGUCUCAGUGUGACAUGCGGGACGUCACCGGUCAGUAUUUUAGCCUCUGUUUGCCCUCCCAGGACAUAGACACUUUUUACUCCACUGGCUUAUAAAGAUUGAGGAAGUGUAAUCAUUUACAAACAAAACAAAGUCUAAGCUAAUUAAAACAUUUAUUUUGAGGGACACCUGGGUGGCUCAGUCAGUUUAGUGUCUGACUUUUUAUCUCAGUUCAGGUCAUGAUCUCACAGUUCAUGAGAUCAAGCCCCACGUUGGGCUCUGUGCUGACAGCUUGGAGCCUGCUUGGGAUUCUCUCUCUCCCUCUCUCUCUGCCCCUCCCCCCUUGUGCUC